rnacentral:rRNA from 1 species
CGAAGGGGGCUAGCGUUGUUCGGAAUUACUGGGCGUAAAGCGUGUGUAGGUGGUUGUCAUAGUCAGGUGUGAAAGCCUUGAGCUCAACUCAAGAAAUGCACUUGAUACUGGGCAGCUAGAGGACCGGAGAGGAUAGUGGAAUUCCCAGUGUAGUGGUGAAAUACGUAGAGAUUGGGAAGAACACCAGUGGCGAAGGCGGCUAUCUGGACGGUUUCUGACACUAAGACACGAAAGCGUGGGGAGCAAACAGGAUUAGAUACCCUGGUAGUCCACGCCGUAAACGAUGGGUGCUAGACGUUGGCGAGCUUGCUCGUCAGUGUCGCAGCUAACGCGUUAAGCACCCCGCCUGGGGAGUACGGCCGCAAGGUUG